CGGUCAGGCAACGGUCCAUUAAGGUUUCCAAUAUAUGACUAGGGUGUCCAUUUCCUGGACGCUGAGUGGCCCUGUCCACUCUUUUUGACGCCUCCCUGCUUCGACCUUCAGCCGCCCAAAGGGCGGCUUCUUUUUG
rnacentral:sRNA from 1 species